CGAACGGGUGAGUAACGCGUGAGGAACCUGCCUCAAAGAGGGGGACAACAGUUGGAAACGACUGCUAAUACCGCAUAAGCCCACGGCUCGGCAUCGAGCAGAGGGAAAAGGAGUGAUCCGCUUUGAGAUGGCCUCGCGUCCGAUUAGCCGGUUGGUGAGGUAACGGCCCACCAAGGCGACGAUCGGUAGCCGGACUGAGAGGUUGAACGGCCACAUUGGGACUGAGACACGGCCCAG
rnacentral:rRNA from 1 species